rnacentral:rRNA from 1 species
UACGAAGGGGGCUAGCGUUAAUCGGAAUGACUGGGCGUAAAGGGUGUGUAGGCGGUUUGUUAAGUCUGAUGUGAAAUCCCCGGGCUCAACCUGGGAACUGCGUUGGAAACUGGCAAACUAGAGUACGUAAGAGGGGGGUGGAAUUCCACGUGUAGCAGUGAAAUGCGUAGAUAUCGGAAGGAACACCUGUGGCGAAAGCGGCUCACUGGACCAUUACUGACACUGAGGCACGAAAGCUAGGGGAGCAAACAGG